GUGAGUAACACGUGAGUAACCUGCCCUUGACUUUGGGAUAACUUCAGGAAACUGGGGCUAAUACCGGAUAGGAGCUCCUGCUGCAUGUGGGGGUUGGAAAGUUUCGGCGGUUGGGGAUGGACUCGCGGCUUAUCAGCUUGUUGGUGGGGUAGUGGCUUACCAAGGCUUUGACGGGUAGCCGGCCUGAGAGGGUGACCGGCCACAUUGGGAAUGAGAUACGGCCCAG
rnacentral:rRNA from 1 species